GAUAUUUUACAAGGUUGUGUAUCAUCAUAUCAUCUACAUGUGUGAUUUUUUGGUGAAUUUAGACGACUUUUUUGCCGUGGUUUGCACAGGUUUUCACGAAGGUGCUGGUUUCCACAAGAUAUGUUCCCAAACAUACUCAGACAUGAGGAUACAAAAUCAUGGUCCACGGAUCUCCCCAUAAAAUAAAUCACAAUUGACAAUUCUUGAUUGGCAAUAUAGAUACUUUCUAGGUUAUUGCAGUUUGUAGACUCAGAAUAUCUGAAAUCCCACUAGCUAACACAAAUCUCGUCUUGCCUCAUGUUUAAAUAGUUCUUUCUUGUAUUCUGUUAUUAAUGAUGAAAACGUAACUUAAGUACCUUUAUUUAUCUAAUGGUUAAGUCUAUGUUCAUAAUUCUACUAUAAGCACACUCGGAUUAACUUUUUUCUUCACAAUCAAUUUAUGCCAACAUAUUUGGUGAAACACAUGCUCUAUUAAACAGUUGCCUAGCUGUUACCGCAAAAGUUAAACAUGGAAUGCUGAUGCCACGGUAGAUCUUAUAGUGAUAAUUUUAUCUUUGAGUAUGGCCAGUUGAGGGAAAGUGUAAAUCAUUUGAUUAUCCAUGUAACUAACCUCGGGAAUUAGGGAAGAUGAUAACUCCAUUAGUGGAGAUAGACAUAUAUAGCCAGCCACAUGGGCCAUAUGGGCCUAUACUAGAUGGGCCUUCAUAUACUUAACAAUCCAGACAAUGGCAGCUUUGCAAGUGAAAGCACAUUUUCUGCUGUUGUAUAUUUUGUGUUAGCAGUACAAGAUAUUUGAUUAUCAGAAUUUGAAACUUUGGUAGACACACACACAACUGACAGGGCCAUGGAGAAGCAGUUCCUUGGAUAACAGUAUCUACUGGUGAUUGUGAAAAAAUGGUUUUUACCAGAUUACAUGCCUGAUUCAUCGGCUAGGCAAAGGAAGGUAGAAAGUCCAGGCGAAGAAGAUAAAUUUACCUACAUUGCUGUGAUGAUGAAGAUAAAUUUACCUACAUUGCUGUGCUGUUGUACAUGGAAACAGGGAAUGGGGCAAAUGCUUGCAUACUUCCCCCUGUUUUUGGAGCAAUUUUUCUCGAAUUUUGAGUGCAGUUUAUCUGAGUUUCUUUCCAGAAAGAAUUUUGACAUCCUAUUUGUUAGUGGAGCUGGAGUAACAAUUCUAUUUGAUUUGUGUGCUAGAGUACCCCUAAUAAUGAGUAAUGUCACAAAAAAUAAAAAAAUUUAAAUAA